GGAGCUAGCGUUGUUCGGAAUCACUGGGCGUAACGCGCACGUAGGCGGAUGUGUCAGUCAGGGGUGAAAUCCCGGAGCUCAACUUCGGAACUGCCUUUGAUACAGCACGUCUUGAGUCCGAUAGAGGUGGGUGGAAUUCCUAGUGUAGAGGUGAAAUUCGUAGAUAUUAGGAAGAACACCGGUGGCGAAGGCGGCCCACCGGAUCGGUACUGACGCUGAGGCACGAAAGCGUGGGGAGCAAACAGG
rnacentral:rRNA from 1 species